GCUUCUAAAGGAUAGAGCUUCUUCCCCGUA
rnacentral:tRNA from 1 species